UCCCUGGUGGUCCAGUGGUUAGGACUUGGCGCUUUCACUGCCAUGGUCCCAGGUUCAAUACCUGGUCGGGGAG
rnacentral:tRNA from 1 species